rnacentral:snRNA from 1 species
AUCGCUUCUCGGCCUUUUGGCUAAGAUCAAGUGUAGUAUCUGUUCUUAUCAGUUUAAUAUUGUUCUUUGCCAGUUGUAUCUAUUACAAAUACCUUUGCUCAAUCUGUGGCUUGCCUUAUCACUCUCU